AAAGCUCAGAGUAAUGAGAUGUGAGAAGGACUCACCAAGGCUUACCAGCUUUGAAGUUGCAGGAAAAGAGCUGAGCCAAGGAAUGCAGGUGGUCUCUAGAAGCUAGAACAGUAAAACAGUAACAACAAAACAACACGUGGUUUAAAAGUAAAAUCUGCUGACAAAGAUGAAAUUGACGUGAAGGCACUUUCCUACCUCAUAUCCAUGCCACACCACAACCCUGCCACCACCAUGAGUACAAGGCCGUCUUGCCUGCUGGAUAUGAGAGAAGAUGAGAGAAGCCCACAUGAAGAGAGGAGCUGCCCCAGCUGAGGCAAUCCUGGACGAACCAGCCCCUAACCAACCCGGCCAUAGAUUAUUCACCCAUGAUUAGCCCAGAAAAGCCCCAGCUGAGUGAAGCCCAAAUUGCUAAUUUGGAGAUAUAUGAGCUAAAUAAAUAGUUGUUGUUCUAAGCCACCAUGUUUUGGGACUGAUUGUUACAUGGCAAUUGUUAGGUAGCUUCUUUGUGUACUGGCAAAUGAAAAAAGAAAUGCUCCUGAUUUCAUCUUAAAUUACCACUUGGGUUUUAACUGGAAGAAGCAGCAGUUCCCUUUUAGGGUCAACACGUUAGAUGAAAGAACUGACUUGUUUCUCC
rnacentral:lncRNA from 1 species